CUUUCUAUAUUCAAUUUGAAAUAAUCUAAAACAUAAAAAAUAUUCUAGACUAAGCAAAUUCAAGUUAACCCAACGCAAGGGAAACUUUCAACAUGCAGUGAGAGUGAGUGCCCGAGAUCACAAACGAGCGAACGCGAGAGGUGAAAAGAAGGAACGAGUGAAACAGCCAAGCGAGGAAGGGUGAUAAAGUGAUUGCGAUUUAUUUUACGAUUUUAAUAAACUUUAGAUUUAU